rnacentral:rRNA from 1 species
UACGUAGGGUGCGAGCGUUGUCCGGAAUUACUGGGCGUAAAGAGCUCGUAGGUGGUUUGUCGCGUUGUUCGUGAAAACUCACAGCUCAACUGUGGGCGUGCGGGCGAUACGGGCAGACUGGAGUACUGCAGGGGAGACUGGAAUUCCUGGUGUAGCGGUGGAAUGCGCAGAUAUCAGGAGGAACACCGGUGGCGAAGGCGGGUCUCUGGGCAGUAACUGACGCUGAUGCGCGAAAGCCAGGGGAGCGAACGGG